AUUGAACGCUGGCGGCAGGCCUAACACAUGCAAGUCGAACGAGUGGCGGACGGGUGAGUAAUGACUGGGAAACUGGCUGAUGGAGGGGGAUAACUACGGGAAACUGUAGCUAAUACCGCGUACCAUAGGAUGAGCCCAAAUGGGAUUAGGUAGUUGGUGAGGUAAAGGCUCACCAAGCCGACGAUCCCUAGCUGGUCUGAGAGGAUGACCAGCCACACUGGGACUGAGACACGGCCCAGACUCCUACGGGAGGCAGCAGUGGGGAAUAUUGCGCAAUGGGGGCAACCCUGACGCAGCCAUGCCGCGUGAAUGAAGAAGGCCUUCGGGUUGUAAAGUUCUUUCGGUAGGGAGGCGUUAACUGCAGAAGAAGCACCGGCUAACUCCGUGCCAGCAGCCGCGGUAAUAC
rnacentral:rRNA from 1 species